rnacentral:tRNA from 1 species
ACCAUGGUGGCUCAGUGGUUGAGCAUUGGACUAUGAACCAGGAGGUCAUGGUUUGAUUCCAGGUCAGGGCA